UACGAAGGGGGCUAGCGUUGUUCGGAUUUACUGGGCGUAAAGCGCACGUAGGCGGUUUGUUAAGUGAGAGGUGAAAUCCUGGAGCUCAACUCCAGAACUGCCUUUCAUACUGGCAAUCUAGAGUCCGGAAGAGGUAAGUGGAACUCCUAGUGUAGAGGUGGAAUUCGUAGAUAUUAGGAAGAACACCAGUGGCGAAGGCGGCUUACUGGUCCGGUACUGACGCUGAGGUGCGAAAGCGUGGGGAGCAAACAGG
rnacentral:rRNA from 1 species